ACGACGCUGGCGGCGUGCCUAACACAUGCAAGUCGAACGGGGUAAAGAGCUUUCGGUUUUUACUUAGUGGCGAACGGGUGAGUAACGCGUGAGAAACCUGCCUUUCAGUGGGGGACAACAGUUGGAAACGACUGCUAAUACCGCAUAAUGUUAUUUGGGGGCAUCCCUGAAUAACCAAAGAUUUAUUGCUGAAAGAUGGUCUCGCGUCUGAUUAGCUAGUUGGUGAGGUAACGGCUCACCAAGGCGACGAUCAGUAGCCGGUCUGAGAGGAUGAACGGCCACAUUGGGACUGAGAUACGGCCCCAGACUCCUACGGGAGGCAGCAGUGGGGAAUAUUGGGCAAUGGGGGAAACCCUGACCCAGCAACGCCGCGUGAAGGAAGAAGGCCCUCGGGUUGUAAACUUCUUUUAGCAGGGACGAAUUCUGACGGUACCUGCAGAAAAAGCAACGGCUAACUACGUG
rnacentral:rRNA from 1 species